AUGCGCUAGGAGCCACUCUUUCAGAAGCCACGCCAAAAAUUAAUUGUAUAAGAAUAUUUCACAUUCAAGUUAAUUAUUAGUGCCCGAUUUGAUUUAUCGAGAGCUGAGCUGUAUGAUCUGACGUCAUGCGUGACUGGGAACAGCGCUAUGAUUACUAACGAUGUAGUGCGACAUUCAUUUGCGUCUACUGCAUCAGUGGUUAUUGUCACCAGUCACUUCAAAACGAAGCGGAAACUAAAAACGUGCUAAAAGAUGUCAAACGCAGCGCCGCAAUUCCGAGCAAAACGACAGAGCCGUGUAAAAACUAAACAGGAUUUAUGUUUGUACCGAGUUGCCCUUUAUCGAACGAGCCCAUACGAGACUGGGAUGAGACAUAAAUCCCGAGAUCGCUUCCGCCGGCAACCUUCGAGGACAUUUUACGGCAUUCUGAGGACGAUACCCACUUGACACUGAUACAAUGAACGUAAAAUCUACGUCUCAUAAAAUAUUCGUCGACACGAAACCGUUAAAUUUGGGCAAGAUGAAAUCUGUUUUGAAAAUGCCCUUCGGAUUCUAAUUUAACCUUUACGUUACAAACUACACAAGGCGUACACGUAAAACCGGGCGUUUCACUGUCUGAAUUAAAUUUUCGACGACUCUCAAACUUUAGACUUGGUCCGUUUUGCAUUCGUGAUGUUUUUCUGAUUGUAAUCUUAAUAUUCACUGCGAUAAGUGUUGUUAUACAAAUAUUUGAGACAAAUAUAAAAUUAACUCGACUUUGGA